GAUGAACGCUGGCGGCGUGCCUAAUACAUGCAAGUCGAGCGAACGGACGAGAAGCUUGCUUUUCUGAUGUUAGCGGCGGACGGGUGAGUAACACGUGGAUAACCUACCUAUAAGACUGGGAUAACUUCGGGAAACCGGAGCUAAUACCGGAUAAUAUUUUGAACCGCACGGUUCAAAAGUGAAAGACGGUCUUGCUGUCACUUAUAGAUGGAUCCGCGCUGCAUUAGCUAGUUGGUAAGGUAACGGCUUACCAAGGCAACGAUGCAUAGCCGACCUGAGAGGGUGAUCGGCCACACUGGAACUGAGACACGGUCCAGACUCCUACGGGAGGCAGCAGUAGGGAAUCUUCCGCAAUGGGCGAAAGCCUGACGGAGCAACGCCGCGUGGGUGAUGAAGGUCUUCGGAUCGUAAAACUCUGUUAUUAGGGAAGAACAUAUGUGUAAGUAACUGUGCACAUCUUGACGGUACCUAAUCAGAAAGCCACGGCUAACUACGUG
rnacentral:rRNA from 1 species